rnacentral:rRNA from 1 species
CUGUAAGACUGGGAUAACUCCGGGAAACCGGAGCUAAUACCGGAUAGUUCCUUGAACCGCAUGGUUCAAGGAUGAAAGACGGUUUCGGCUGUCACUUACAGAUGGACCCGCGGCGCAUUAGCUAGUUGGUGGGGUAAUGGCUCACCAAGGCGACGAUGCGUAGCCGACCUGAGAGGGUGAUCGGCCACACUGGGACUGAGACACGGCCCAGACUCCUACGGGAGGCAGCAGUAGGGAAUCUUCCGCAAUGGACGAAAGUCUGACGGAGCAACGCCGCGUGAGUGAUGAAGGUUUUCGGAUCGUAAAGCUCUGUUGUUAGGGAAGAACAAGUGCGAGAGUAACUGCUCGCACCUUGACGGUACCUAACCAGAAAGCCACGGCUAACUACGUGCCAGCAGCCGCGGUAAUACGAAGGUGGCAAGCGUUGUCCGGAAUUAUUGGGCGUAAAGGGCUCGCAGGCGGUUUCUUAAGUCUGAUGUGAAAGCCCCCGGCUCAACCGGGGAGGGUCAUUGGAAACUGGGAAACUUGAGUGCAGAAGAGGAGAGUGGAAUUCCACGUGUAGCGGUGAAAUGCGUAGAGAUGUGGAGGAACACCAGUGGCGAAGGCGACUCUCUGGUCUGUAACUGACGCUGAGGAGCGAAAGCGUGGGGAGCGAACAGGAUUAGAUACCCUGGUAGUCCA